GACGAACGCUGGCGGCGUGCUUAACACAUGCAAGUCGAACGGAAAGGCCCUGCUUGCGUGGUGCUCUCGUGUCGAACAGGGGUGUAACACGCGUGUGUUAUCCGCUGCACUUCUUGGUAUGCCUUCAGGACACUGGGUCUUACCGCGGAUAGGCGAUCCUUCUGCAGGUGGGUGGAAAGAUUCUGCGGUGGGGGAUGGGCUCGCGGCCUAUCAGCUUGUUGGUGGGGUAGUGGCCUACCAAGGCGGCGACGGGUAGCCGGCCUGAGAGGGUGGCCGGCCACAUUGGGACUGAGAUACGGCCCAGACUCCUACGGGAGGCAGCAGUGGGGAAUAUUGCACAAUGGGCGGAAGCCUGAUGCAGCGACGCCGCGUGCGGGAUGACGGCCUUCGGGUUGUAAACCGCUUUCGCCAGUGACGAAGCGUGAGUGACGGUAAUGGGUUAAGAAGCACCGGCUAACUACGUG
rnacentral:rRNA from 1 species